GAUGAAGAACGUAGCGAAAUGCGAAAAGUAGUGUGAAUUGCAGAAUUCAGUGAAUCAUCGAAUCUUUGAACGCACAUUGCGCCCGCUAGUAUUCUGGCGGGCAUGCCUGUCCGAGCGUCAUUUCAACCCUCAAGCCCCCGGGCUUGGUGUUGGGGAUCGGCGAGCCUCCGCGCCCGCCGUCCCCUAAAUCUAGUGGCGGUCUCGCUGUAGCUUCCUCUGCGUAGUAGCACACCUCGCACUGGGAAACAGCGCGGCCACGCCGUUAAACCCCCAACUUCUGAACGUUUGACCUCGGAUCAGGUAGGAAUACCCGCUGAACUUAAGCAUAUCAAUAAGCGGAGGA
rnacentral:misc_RNA from 1 species